CGUCGCGCUGGGCCAGACCGCGGUAGGUGACCUCGCCCGGCCGGCGCGCCUGCACGGCAAAGGCGCAGCCAUAGGGCAGCAGCAUCUCGUACUCAUCGGGGAAGGCCGAGUUGCGUCCGAGGAUCAGUGCGCCGCGGGCACCCGCCGGCACGCGCACGACAAAGGCACAGCACGAGGCAAACUCGUCGAGGAACGGGCCAAAGUCGAGCCAGGCGUCCAUGGUGGUCGAGUUAAACACCCAUUGGCGCUCGACGUCGCCCGCACGCAGGCCAUAGUUGGUCGUCGCCCUCCCUUGUGAGCCGUCAUCAUCACCGUCAUCAUCGUCGCCAUCGGGACAGCCGCCGUCGCAUUGGGGCGCAGCCGUGCCAAAGUAGAGAAAGCGCGCCACCUUGUAGACGCGCGCGUCGGCCGUUAGUGGCGGCGCGCCCAACAGGGCCUCUUGCACCAACGCUGCCUGCACCAACGGAUUAUUGUCGUCAUUGUCAUCGUCGUCGUUAUUGCCGGCGCCCGCGCGGUCCGAUCCUGAGCCAAAGAAUCGAUCCAAGAGGGCCAGGUUGAUGGGACCCGACGCCGGACCCGUGUAGGCCAAGAGGGCGCGCUGCAGCCGCGACGGGAGCGCGCGCACAUAGGCGUCGUGCGCGGCGACAUCGACGGGCGACACUGAAAAGCGCGGACGCGGAUGCAGUACGGGCACGCCGGCGUCGAUGACCUCGUGAUCGACAGGACCCAUGGCCGUGGCGGCGACGCGGCCAGCCAUGGCCCGUCGCGCAGCGCCCGGCUCGUCCGAGAGCACGCCGAUGGCGACGGCCCUGGCACGCGCUGCCGGUCCAUCCAGCAAGAGACUCUUGUAGAGGUUGCCGCUAAGGCGGCUGCGGGCCGACGCCCGCCCAAAAGCGUCGAGAAGGCGUGCGGCCCUGUCGCGCGUGCGCGGGUAAACAGCGGGAUCGCGCGCCGUUGACCAAAGUGCGCGCAGCACGACCGACGGCCCGGCAAAGGUCACGUCGUCAAAGGUCACGGUAUCGGGCGGCGAGGCAGCGCGGCGGCGCACGCGCGCCAGGACAAAGUCCCAGCGGGUCGUCUGCACGACCACGUCCCAUUGCGCAGGUCCAGACGCGACGAGCGACACGCCCGUAAGGUGCACGCCAAAAUGAUCGUCGAUGACGUCCAGGCGGAGACUCUGCCGUGUCGCGGUUUCAGCGGUGGCCUGUGCGAUGGCGGCGGCAACACGCGGCACCGCAUCGGGCGCGCCCCACGCCUCAAUGUCCCAUUCGACGGCGUCGGUCCGGUAGGGCACGCCGACGAGCGCAUUGUAGGCGCGCUCGCCCGUCGCCAACGUGCCGACAAGGCCACGCGCAUUCUGAAGGGUCUUGACCACAGUGUCGCUGAGCACGCGCGCCACGUAGACGGCAUAGCGGCGGGCCUCGGCGUUGGCCAUCUCGCUCCUUUUUCCUCUUUCCUUGCCGUCAACCAAAACCAACAAAAAGCGUGCGUGCGCACGGCCUCUUGUCUAUUUUUUUUUAAAAAAAUUCUAUUUG
rnacentral:lncRNA from 1 species